GACGAACGCUGGCGGCAUGCCUAACACAUGCAAGUCGAGCGAGUUGAUUUCUUCGGAAUGAAGCUAGCGGCGGACGGGUGAGUAACACGUGGGCAACCUGCCUCAUAGAGGGGAAUAGCCUUCCGAAAGGAAGAUUAAUACCGCAUAAGAUUGUAGUACCGCAUGGUAUAGCAAUUAAAGGAGUAAUCCGCUAUGAGAUGGGCCCGCGGCGCAUUAGCUAGUUGGUGAGGUAACGGCUCACCAAGGCGACGAUGCGUAGCCGACCUGAGAGGGGGAUCGGCCACAUUGGGACUGAGACACGGCCCAGACUCCUACGGGAGGCAGCAGUGGGGAAUAUUGCACAAUGGGGGAAACCCUGAUGCAGCAAUGCCGCGUGAGUGAUGACGGCCUUCGGGUUGUAAAGCUCUGUCUUCGGGGACGAUAAUGACGGUACCCGAGGAGGAAGCCACGGCUAACUACGUGCCAGCAGCCGCCGCCG
rnacentral:rRNA from 1 species